UUUCUUGUCAAGAAUACGGUUUUAACUCAUAAUGAAUAUGCUGUUCUACAGCUAUGGUGAUAAACGCGCACGUAAUAGACGGAUCGGACCCGGGGGCGGUACCCGGCGGCUCCACCAAAAAAAAUAUGGGGCCGAAAUAGGAUCGACGGACGUUCAAAGGUGUUAGCUUUUGCUCGGCGGGAUGGCCACCGUUAUCGGCGCAAACUGUAUAAUUGCAAAUGACGAUUAUGCUCCGGUUGCUGUUGCUGCAUAAGCGGUAACAAAAGCCGAAACUUAACUCCAGUUCGUUAGCACGAAUUGGCGGGGUUCGCAGGCACCUGGCAACAGAAGCCUGCACU
rnacentral:tmRNA from 1 species